UACCCUACGGACGCAGCAGUGGGGAAUAUUGCGCAAUGGGGGCAACCCUGACGCAGCAACGACGCGUGAUUGAAGAAGGCCUUCGGGUUGUAAAGAUAUUUAAUCGGGGACGAAUUUUGACGGUACCCGAAGAAUGAGCUCCGGCUAACUACGUGCCAGCAGCCGCGGUAAUACGUAGGGAGCAAGCGUUAUCCGGAUUUACUGGGUGUAAAGGGCGUGUAGGCGGGAAUGCAAGCCAGAAGUGA
rnacentral:rRNA from 1 species